rnacentral:rRNA from 1 species
ACGUGUUACAAUGGGUGAUACAGAGGGCCGGCCGCUGGCAACAUCGGUCCAAUCCUUAAAGUCAUCCUCAGUUCGGACUGGGGUCUGCAACCCGACCCCACGAAGCUGGGUUCGCUAGUAAUCGCGCAUCAGCCAUGGCGCGGUGAAUACGUUCCCGGGCCUUGUACACACCGCCCGUCAAGCCAUGAAAGCCGGGGGCGCCUGAAGUCCGUGACCGCGAGGGUCAGCCUAGGGUGAAACCGGUGAUUGGGGCUAAGUCGUAACAAGGUAAC